GUCUGUACUUAUGGUUUGAUCAAGGGACCAAAUUCUGAUGAAGAAUUGAAGGGAAAUUUGCUCUAAGAGCCACGACAUUGCAGAAGAAAGGAUGUUCUGCUUGCAAAGCCAAUGGAUACAUCAUGUUAAUGAUAAGAUACAGGAAGAAUGCUGCAGUGUUGGAAGUCCCGGAUUUCUCCCAUCUCAGCCUGGAAAACCAUGUAAUUAGGAACAAAAGAAUGACAUGCGUCACCAGGGAGAACGAGACCAACAGCUAUGUACGAGAAGUUGCAGUGCAGUUGAGGACUGCUUGUUUUUGUCUCGGAUAUUAAGGGUGCUUUUGUUUAAAUGUUCUGAGCUACAGAUCAUGUAGAGAAGCCUGUGUGGUUGCUCUAUCAAGUGUUUGCUGUGUUCACUUUUAUAUUUGUUAAUUCCUACAAUUCCUAUUAAUAUCGCACAUUAAAAUGGGACCGUGUGUCUGCUCGCUUAUUACAGUUGCAUUUUGUAGUACAUUUUCAUAAUUCAUACACAAAUUCAUUAUUUUGAUACACACACUCACUUUCUCACACACACACACAUACACUCUCUCUCACACACACACACGUUCACUCUCUCACACAUAUGUAUACACUCUCUCGCGCACACACACACCCUCUCGCACACACACAUACAAUCUCUCACGCGCGCACACACACACACACACUCUCUCUCUCCCACACACACACACUCUCUCGCACACACACAUACACUCUCUCGCACACACACAUACACUCUCUUGCACAUACACAUACACUCUCUCUCCCACGCACACAUACAUUCUUUUGCACACACAUACAUACACUCUCUCACAUAUACACUCUCUUGCACACACACUCUGUCGCACACACAGAUGUGCACAUUGUCUCAAACACACAAAUUCUCAUACAAAUACAUCAGUUGUCUCUCUCGUGCACACGUGCAUCCACACACACUUUCUCUCUCUCUCUCUGUCUCAUUUCAUACAUUUUCAUGAUGAUUUUGCAGUAAGAGAACCAGGCAUUGAUGCUAUAGGCACAACCAAUGUGGGC